GUAGUCCACGCUGUAAACGAUGAGAGCUAGUUGUCGGCACGCAUGCGUGUCGGUGACGCAGCUAACGCAUUAAGCUCUCCGCCUGGGGAGUACGGCCGCAAGGUUAAAACUCAAAGAAAUUGACGGGGGCCCGCACAAGCGGUGGAGCAUGUGGUUUGAUUCGAAGCAACGCGCAGAACCUUACCCACGUUUGACAUGUCUCGUUUGGUCGCCAGAGAUGGCUUCCUUCAGUUCGGCUGGCGAGAACACAGGUGCUGCAUGGCUGUCGUCAGCUCGUGUCGUGAGAUGUUGGGUUAAGUCCCGCAACGAGCGCAACCCUCGCUACUAGUUGCCAUCAGGUUAAGCUGGGCACUCUAGUGGAACUGCCGGUGGCAAGCCGGAGGAAGGUGGGGAUGACGUCAAGUCCUCAUGGCCCUUACGCGUGGGGCUACACACGUGCUACAAUGGCGGUGACAGAGGGAUAAUCCCUAAAAGCCGUCUCAGUUCGGAUUGUCCUCUGCAACUCGAGGGCAUGAAGUUGGAAUCUCUAGUAAUCGCGGAUCAGCAUGCCGCGGUGAAUA
rnacentral:rRNA from 1 species